ACCGCCUGGGGAGUACGGCCGCAAGGUUAAAACUCAAAUGAAUUGACGGGGGCCCGCACAAGCGGUGGAGCAUGUGGUUUAAUUCGAUGCAACGCGAAGAACCUUACCUACUCUUGACAUCCAGAGAACUUUCCAGAGAUGGAUUGGUGCCUUCGGGAACUCUGAGACAGGUGCUGCAUGGCUGUCGUCAGCUCGUGUUGUGAAAUGUUGGGUUAAGUCCCGCAACGAGCGCAACCCUUAUCCUUUGUUGCCAGCGGUUCGGCCGGGAACUCAAAGGAGACUGCCAGUGAUAAACUGGAGGAAGGUGGGGAUGACGUCAAGUCAUCAUGGCCCUUACGAGUAGGGCUACACACGUGCUACAAUGGCGUAUACAAAGAGAAGCGACCUCGCGAGAGCAAGCGGACCUCAUAAAGUACGUCGUAGUCCGGAUUGGAGUCUGCAACUCGACUCCAUGAAGUCGGAAUCGCUAGUAAUCGUAGAUCAGAAUGCUACGGUGAAUACGUUCCCGGGCCUUGUACACACCGCCCGUCACACCAUGGGAGUGGGUUGCAAAAGAAGUAGGUAGCUUAACCUUCGGGAGGGCGC
rnacentral:rRNA from 2 species